rnacentral:misc_RNA from 1 species
CGUGUUUCUUCAUUUGACAGCAUGUUGCUUCUUUGUUCUAUUGAAAUACUAGUGAAAUAAAAUAACCUUCCAGAUGUUUACAUGUGGAUAUUUACUCCCUGAGAAAUUAAUAUUGUUUAUCCUUUUUACAGUGCUACAGGUGCGAUCACACUGUUGUCUGGCCAGCCGAAAGAAGGUGUUGCUGUUGAAGCUCGGUCGGAGUCAAAAGGCUACUAUGAAGAG